AGAUAGAUGAGGCUGAGAGAGUUUUGAGAGAUCUGUGACUAGCCCAAAGUCACCCAGCAGGCUUCAUGUGGAGGAAUCAAACAUCCAUCUUAGAGCCUGCCACUCAUGCUGAGAAGCAGGGAAUCCUGAAAGUAAAGUGGACAUUCUUGAACCUCUCCUCCAAGAUGUUCUUUCCAUACUGCAACUGCUGAAUUCAGGAAACAGAGUUCACUCAAUCUUCCAGAUUCUAUGGAUAUGUUCCUGAUUUAUGUGUAAUCAUCCACCAGUAAGCCUACAUCUCCAACUGAUGCUCAUUGAUAUUUAUGCAUUGCCAAAAGGAUACACAAGAACACAAGAACACUAUUGAAUCAUGCCACUGUCCAGCAUGUUCAGCAUGUCCAGCAUCUAGUCCAGUAUCUGAUUUGAAAUAGUCAUUGGAAGCCAAAAGCAGCUCAUGAAGCCAGAAACUCUCCCCAGUUGUCACCUUGCAGAUGGUAUUUAGAACAUGGGUGGUUUUGAAGUUUUCAUUUCUGAUGUUUGACUAAACAAUUCCCAUUUCAAUUCUGUUUCUCCCAGACCAAAGAAAAAACAGUGUUAUGACCCCUGCUUUUUUGUACCAGUUUGUAUUUCCUUGCACUGGGUUUGUCCUGUAAAAAGUACACUUUUACCUUUGUUACUGACAAACGAUGUGCACUGUAUGUAUAAAUACCUUAUAAACCGACUAUUAAAAUGCAAUAUGGAUCCACAAUAAAAUGAAUCUCCAAAACUGACAAUAAAUUGUGGGAAACUGAAACUAGCAGCAGCAAGGAAAACCAAUAUGAAAAGAAAGAAUGAAAGAAAGAAAGA